rnacentral:rRNA from 1 species
CCUACGGGAGGCAGCAGUGGAGAAUAUUUCACAAUGGGGGAAACCCUGAUGCUGCGACGCCGCGUGGGGGAAUGAAGGUUUCCGUAUUUAAAACUCUGUCCACGGGGGAGCAAAUUACGGUACCUGACCAAGACGCCCCGGCUACCUCCGGUCCAGCAGCCGCGGUCAUACGGAGGGGGCGAUCGUUAUCCGGAUUUACUGGGGGUAAAGGGAGCGUAGACGGCAGGGCAAGUCUGGAGUGAAAGGCGGGGGCUCAACCCCCGGACUGCUCUGGAAACUGCCAGGCUGGAGUGCAGGAGAGGUAAGUGGAAUUCCCAGUGUAGCGGUGAAAUGCGUAGAUAUCAGGAGGAACACUAGUGGCGAAGGCGGCUUACUGGACUGUAACUGACGCUGAGGCUCGAAAGCGUGGGGAGCAAACAGGAUUAGAUACCCCUGUAGUC